rnacentral:rRNA from 1 species
CACGUAGGGUGCGAGCGUUGUCCGGAAUUAUUGGGCGUAAAGAGCUCGUAGGCGGUGUGUCGCGUCGGCCGUGAAAACCUGCAGCUUAACUGUGGGCUUGCGGUCGAUACGGGCAUCACUGGAGUUCGGCAGGGGAGACUGGAAUUCCUGGUGUAGCGGUGAAAUGCGCAGAUAUCAGGAGGAACACCAAUGGCGAAGGCAGUGGUCUGGGCCGAUACUGACGCUGAGACGCGAAAGCGUGGGGAGCGAACAGG